UGGGGAAUUUUGGACAAUGGGCGCAAGCCUGAUCCAGCCAUGCCGCGUGCAGGAUGAAGGCCUUCGGGUUGUAAACUGCUUUUGUACGGAACGAAAAGACUCCUUCUAAUAAAGGGGGUCCAUGACGGUACCGUAAGAAUAAGCACCGGCUAACUACGUGCCAGCAGCCGCGGUAAUACGAAGGGUGCAAGCGUUACUCGGAAUUACUGGGCGUAAAGCGUGUGUAGGUGGUUUGUUAAGUCUGAUGUGAAAGCCCUGGGCUCAACCUGGGAACUGCGAUUGUGACUGCAAGGCUAGAGCGUGUCAGAGGGGGGUGGAAUUCCACGUGUAGCAGUGAAAUGCGUAGAGAUGUGGAGGAACACCGAUGGCGAAGGCAAUCCCCUGGGCCUGUACUGACGCUCAUGCACGAAAGCGUGGGGAGCAAACA
rnacentral:rRNA from 1 species